CAAGUCGAGCGGUAACAGGGGGUGCUUGCACCCCGCUGACGAGCGGCGGACGGGUGAGUAAUGCAUAGGAAUCUGCCCGAUAGUGGGGGAUAACCUGGGGAAACCCAGGCUAAUACCGCAUACGUCCUACGGGAGAAAGGGGGCUCCGGCUCCCGCUAUGGGAUGAGCCUAUGUCGGAUUAGCUAGUUGGUGAGGUAACGGCUCACCAAGGCCACGAUCCGUAGCUGGUCUGAGAGGAUGAUCAGCCACAUCGGGACUGAGACACGGCCCGAACUCCUACGGGAGGCAGCAGUGGGGAAUAUUGGACAAUGGGGGCAACCCUGAUCCAGCCAUGCCGCGUGUGUGAAGAAGGCCCUCGGGUUGUAAAGCACUUUCAGCGAGGAAGAACGCCUAGCGGUCAAUACCCGCUAGGAAAGACAUCACUCGCAGAAGAAGCACCGGCUAACUCCGUGCCAGCAGCCGCGGUAAUACGGAGGGUGCAAGCGUUAAUCGGAAUUACUGGGCGUAAAGCGCGCGUAGGUGGCUUGAUAAGCCGGUUGUGAAAGCCCCGGGCUCAACCUGGGAACGGCAUCCGGAACUGUCAAGCUAGAGUGCAGGAGAGGAAGGUAGAAUUCCCGGUGUAGCGGUGAAAUGCGUAGAGAUCGGGAGGAAUACCAGUGGCGAAGGCGGCCUUCUGGACUGACACUGACACUGAGGUGCGAAAGCGUGGGUAGCAAACAGGAUUAGAUACCCUGGUAGUCCACGCCGUAAACGAUGUCGACCAGCCGUUGGGUGCCUAGCGCACUUUGUGGCGAAGUUAACGCGAUAAGUCGACCGCCUGGGGAGUACGGCCGCAAGGUUAAAACUCAAAUGAAUUGACGGGGGCCCGCACAAGCGGUGGAAGCAUGUGUUUAAUUCGAUGCAACGCGAAGAACCUUACCUACACUUGACAUGCUGAGAAGUUACUAGAGAUAGUUUCGUGCCUUCGGGAACUCAAACACAGUGCUGCAUGCUGUCGUCAGCUCGUGUCGUGAAAUGUGGGUUAAGUCCCGCAACGAGCGCAACCUUGUCUUAGUGCCAGCUUAAGUGGGCACUCUAAGGAAACUGCGUGACAAACGAAGAAGUGGGAACGACGUCAGUCAUCAUGCCUUACGGUGUAGGCUAACAACUGGCUACAUGCAUAACGAGAAGCGGAACAGGGAUUGGAACGACCUAAGAAAGGGACUAAUUCGGAAUGGAGAUUCGUCAACUCUAAAU
rnacentral:rRNA from 1 species